rnacentral:rRNA from 1 species
UACGAAGGGGGCUAGCGUUGCUCGGAAUCACUGGGCGUAAAGGGUGUGUAGGUGGCGCCGUAAGUCGGGUGUGAAAUUUCGGAGCUUAACUCCGAAACUGCAUUCGGUACUGCGGUGCUUGAGGACUGGAGAGGAGACUGGAAUUCAUGGUGUAGCAGUGAAAUGCGUAGAGAUCAUGAGGAAGACCAGUGGCGAAGGCGGGUCUCUGGACAGUUCCUGACACUGAGACGCGAAGGCCAGGGGAGCAAACGGG